rnacentral:rRNA from 1 species
AACGGCCGCGGUACCCUAACCGCGCAAAGGUAGCGUAAUCACUUGCCCCCUAAUUAGGGGCUAGUAUGAACGGCCACACGAGGGCCCAACUGUCUCCUACAGCCAGUCAAUGAAACUGAGCUUUCAGUUAAAAAGCUGAAAUAUUAUCAUAAGACGAGAAGACCCCGCGGAGCUUCAAGCAGCCCACUACCCAAACCAAUGCCCCACAAGAGAACAUUGACAGUAAAAAGUAGGGCGCCUAGCCUUAAGUUGGGGCAACUGUGAGGUAAAACAAAACCCUCAUGAACACAGCUAAACCCUGUCCUGCGGCCAACGAGCCAAAGACAUUUAACCAGGACCCAGUCAAACUGACCAUCGAACCAAGUUACCCCGGGGAUAACAGCGCCAUCCCCUUUAAGAGCCCUUAUCGACAAGGGGGCUUACGACCUCGAUGUUGGAUCAGGGCACCCAGGCAGUGCAGCCGCCGCCAAGGGUUCGUUCGUUCAACGAUUAA